AUGGACCAACCAAAAGCAGCUACUGCCCACAGGCCUUCAGUGAUGUGGAGGCCAGGUUGGGAGAGGGGAAGGUUUCCACCUUGUGGUCCACGUCACCGGAAGAGCGUCGUCUGGGGCAGCCUUGUUUCCGCGACUCCCUCUGUCCUCGCUGAUGGUCUUCUUCCACUUCCUGUCCUCAGACCCUCCCCUCUCCUGAGCUCCUCAAAGCUUCCCGCUGCCUUUCUGUCGUCAGGAUUUUCUGUUCAUGCCUAUUACAGUGUGUUUUCUCCUGUCGAUGUGGACGUGGCUCUGAGUCCCGCUGGAAGGACCGCGGGGCAGGGGGAUGUCUUCCUCCCCACCAGCAUUCCCUUUCUUACCUGUCUGUCACAGCUAAUUGGAUUUGGUGUUAAGUCUCAGGAAUUCCAAGAAAAUAGUCACCAUAUAGUUUUCUCUUCCUAAUUUGUAAUUUAAAAAAAUUCCGGGGGGUCUGGGGGGCCCAGUUGGUUAAACGACUGCCUUUGGCUCAGGUCGUGAUCCUUGAGUCCCGGGAUUGAGUUCUGCAUCAGGUUCUCUGCUGAGCAGGGAGUCUGCUUUCCCCUCUCAUGACUCUCUCAAAUAAAUAAAAUAUUCUGGGAAUCUCUUUGAGAAGAGUACAUAUUUUGAUUUUUUUUGUUUAAGAUUUUAUUUAUUUGUUUAUUUAACAGAAAUAGAGAGCACAAGUAGGUAGAGCAGCAGGGGGAGGGAGAAGCAGGCUCUCUGCUGAGCAGGGAGCCUGAUGGGGGCUCCAUCCUAGGACCCUGGCAUCUCGACCUGAGCUGAGGGCAGACGUCGACUGAGCUGCCCAGAAGCCCCUAUUUCUAUGUCAUUAAGUGGCAGGUCUUUUUUUUUUUUUUAUUAAGAUUUUAUUUAUUUAUUUGAUAGACACACAGCGUAAGAGGGGACAUAAGCAGGCAGAGUGGGAGAGGGACAAGCAGGCUUCCGGGGGGGCAGGGAGCCUGAUGCAGGGCUUGAUCCCAGGGUCCUGGGAUCAUGACCUGAGCCAAGGCAGAUGCUUAACGGCUGAGCCACCCAGGUGCCCCUUAGAUGGCAAGUCUUACUGAGAUCUGUUCGGAGUUUUUAACUUUCCAGCGUCUAGAACUUACAUUGCUGUAUUUGAGGUUAUACUUUCUUUUUUAAAUUUCUCCAUCAGGUGAUCAAAUGGAUGCAUUUCACCUAAAUAUAACUUGAUUUCCUUCAGGAGAUCUUCCAUCCGAGGGCUUUCUGAAAACGAGGUUUGUUUCCUGUCAUUCGGUUCUGGUUUUGUGAUACUGUUUUCUGUUUCUAUUCCGUUGUUUUCGUAAGCAUUCCAGAGCUUAGACGUUUGCAAGUUUUGCUUGGCCAAAUUGGCAUGUUUGGUAAGAACAUGAGUUUUCUCUCUUUCCCUCUUCCCUUCCCUUUCUUCCCCCUUCUCCUUUGUAAGGAUUUUACUUUAAAGUCCCAGUAUGGGACUCAAACUCACAACCCUGACGACAAGAGUCCCCUGCUCUGCUGACUGAGCCAGCCAGGGGCCCCAGGAGCUGGGAUUUUCUGAUUGUUAGCUGCAGGGCCCUAGUUUAUGUCCGUGACAGGAGGUUCAUUUAAAUGACGUGACUGUGGAUGUAUCUUCUAUUUUUUUGAUGUAAAAAAAAGAUUUUAUUUAUUUGACAUUCUGUGAGAGAGGGAACACAAGCUGGGGGGUGGGGAAAGGGAGAAGUGGGCCCCCCGCGGAGCAGGGAGCCUGGUGGGGACUCAGUGCGGGGCUCGAUCCCAGGACCCCCGGAUCAUGACCUGAACUGAAGGCAGAUGCUUUCACUGACUGAGCCCCCCAGGCACCUCUUUAGUUUUUCUUUUUUUUUUAAAGAUUUUAUUUAUUUGUCAGAGAGAGAGCGAGCACAGGCAGACAGUGAGGCAGGCAGAGACAGAGGCAGAAGCAGGGUCCCCGCUGAGCAAGGAGCCGGAUGUGGGACUCGAUCCCAGGACGCUGGGAUCAUGACCCGAGCCGAAGGCAGCUCUUAACCAACUGAGCCACCCAGGCGUCCCUAUUUGUAAGUCUUAAUAAUUAUGUUUUGCGUGAUCUGAAGUGCGUCUUGAGAAGCAUUUUUCUCUGCGCGGUUCUGCAGCGUCUGCGGCGACGGCUGUCUCCCCUCCUGCCCCGGAACUCGGUACCCGGUUCCCGCUGGUGCCUGCCCCGCAGCUUCUGGCGUCCUGAAGGUGGUGUUUGGCUUGUGAUGCUGUUCUCGGUUGGAGGUUCUGAGGCCGUGUCGUUGCCCUUUUCUUCUCUGAAGGAAGACCUGGUUCCCGAUCGCGGUUCUGUUCUGUGGCUGUGCCUGGUUCCCGAUCGCGGUUCUUGGAAACUUCCCUGGUGUUUGCCUUGAGCCUCUCUCAUGUCCUUGGAGUGUUUUUCUAUCGCUUGGAAACAGUGGAGUUUUAAAAGAAUUGAGUGGAAUUACUACGCACAGUGUGUUCCUUAAACUCGUACAGCGCUAGGUUUGGUUGUAUGUCAUACUGGAAAAACAAAACUGACUUUUAGCAUAUCUUUAGUCUUCAUUUAGUUACAGUUCUUGUGUUUACUGAGGUGUUUGAGUUAAAUGUGCUCUUGUCUGGGGAACACUAAGGAUUGCGCCUGUUGAGACGGGGUUGACUGGAGACGUUUCUGGAUUGCACUGUCCUCCCCGGGUGCCCCGCCUUCCCUUGGCCACAUUGUCGUUCCUGGGGGGAGAACAUGCUGUAGGUCGGCUUUUCUAGUGGCCGAAGCCUUCACCACCGUGCUGACGGCACGACCCGCCAGGACAGGAGCGUCGCAGCACGGCUGUGCCUCUGGGCAGCGCAGCCCCAGUUCUCCCGGCACCCGGUCCCGUUGCUGUGAGCUCGGGUCUUAACGUUGCAGCUACGACCCACCUUCUCUGGUGUGUGUCCCUCUCUGUGUGCCUUCCAUACCCCCGCAGGUGGCCUGUCGGCGUCCCCUCCGUGCCGGCGGGACAGCUCGCGACUCUGCGCGCCCCAUACAUAACCACAGGACCCUGGGGAACCAAGUACUAGUUGUCCUUUAGAAGGAAGGAAACCGUGGUGGUGGUGACAGCGUGGAUGAACCUGGAGGAGUGACAUCAGGAAAUAAGCCAGACAUAAAUCCUGCGGGACCUCGUGUGUGGGAUCCAAGGGAGUCGAACUCCGUAGACACGGUGCGCGCGUGGAGGGCUGGCCGCAGGGCUGGGGAGGGAAGUGGGAGGGCGUCUGUUGCAGGUGGAGACGUCCAGCUCCGAGUGAGGUCUGGGGACCUGCGGUGCAGCACACUGACCGCCGCUUACACAUGUGCCCGAUACGUGGAAUUUGCUGAGAGAGAGCAUGUUCUCGCCUUCGAAAGAAACGGCACGUGUCUCCGGUGAUGGAGCUUCCCCUUCGCGGUGGUCGGUUUACAGUGUGGACGUGAUCACAGCCUCCUCUUGUACACCCUCAGCGGCUUUGUCGUGCUGCGGUCCAGCCGGGGACAGGAGGAGCUGACCGGGCCGUGGUUCUCUCUGUUCUGGAGCUGAGCCAUGUGGCUCUGGGCCCCCAUCUCCCUGCUGCUCCCGGCCUCUCCUCCGAUUGGGAUUGGGCCUCCUGACCCCCUGCGGCGCCUGCACGGUCCUGGACCGCUUCCUGGGUCUCACUUGAGCAGCAGCAGCAGCUCCCUCCAGCUCUGUUUCACCGGUCUUAAAUGGCCAGACUGAUGACAACCAUGUGUGGAACGGGUGGCUGUCGUGGUUAUUUUACGAAUGCUGACUUAAUUAACUGAUUUUCUGAGGAUGAUUAGACAAGAUACUUCAACACAUUUAUUUGAAAGGCAGGGAGAGAGUUGAGAGAGAGCAUAAGAGGGGAGAGGGUCAGAGGAAGAAGCAGAAGCAGACCCCCNNNNNNNNNNNNNNNNNNNNNNNNNNNNNNNNNNNNNNNNNNNNNNNNNNNNNNNNNNN
ensembl:lincRNA